UAAAAACCCCGACUUCGGAAGGGGUGUAUUUAUUAGAUACAAAACCAAUGCCCUUCGGGGCUCUUUGGUGAUUCAUGAUAACUAUACGAGUCGCACGGCCUUGCGCCGGCGAUGGUUCAUUCAAAUUUCUUCCCUAUCAACUUUCGAUGUUUGGGUAUUGGCCAAACAUGGUUGCAACGGGUAACGGAGGGUUAGGGCUCGACCCCGGAGAAGGAGCCUGAGAAACGGCUACUACAUCCAAGGAAGGCUGCAGGCGCGCAAAUUACCCAAUCCCGACUCGGGGAGGUAGUGGCAAUAAAUACUGAUACAGGGCCCUUUCGGGCCUUGUAAUUGGAAUGAGUACAAUUUAAAUCCCUUAACGAGGAACAAUUGGAGGGCAAGUCUGGUGCCAGCAGCCGCGGUAAUUCCAGCUCCAAUAGCGUAUUUUAAAGUUGUUAUGGUUAAAAAGCUCAAAGUUGAAACAUGGGCAUGAAUGGCCAGUCCUAGACACAACGUGCACAAGACAGAACGGGUCUUAUUAAAUUUAUAUAAGAAGUAGAGUAAUAAAAAAGUAGUAAUCUGGAAAAAUUAAAAAAA
rnacentral:rRNA from 1 species